UUUACCUACGGGGGGCAGCAGUAGGGAAUCUUCCACAAUGGGCGAAAGCCUAAUGGAGCAACUCCUCGUGUUUGAAGAAGGUCUUCGGAUCGUAAAACCCUGUUGUUAGAGAAGAAAGUGCGUGAGAGUAACUGUUCACGUUUCGACGGUAUCUAACCAGAAAGCCACGGCUAACUACGUGCCAGCAGCCGCGGUAAUACGUAGGUGGCAAGCGUUAUCCGGAUUUAUUGGGCGUAAAGGGAACG
rnacentral:rRNA from 1 species